rnacentral:lncRNA from 1 species
AGGGCGAAGCAGUGGAGGAUGGCGAGGCGGCGAGGCGGCGAAGCGGCGAGCCGGAGGGAGCGAAGCAUCAGAGAAGAGGCAGAGGGGUAUUUUCGGUAUAAAAAAAUAUUUUUUAACAGAACCCCUGACGGAACCCUAACGGUAGGGGUGAAGUGCACAUUUUUUAUUUUACAAGGGGGCAAAGUAUAGGUUUUUAAAUGUCAGGGAAAAGUGAAAAAGCGGGUUAUUAGUAUAUUAAUAUUUGAUUAAAGUAUGUACGAAUCAAAAGGGUCAAUUUGGUGUACUAUGAUGGUCUGUGGGUAGCUUUUCUUCGGCAGUACAAAUAAAGAAAAAGGACAAGGUUAUUAAUGUUUAUAUAUGUAUAUUAGCUGUAUUGUAUGGAAUGUGACCUUUGAUUGGAUAAUAGGUCACAAAAUUCAAAUAUUGUAUUGGUAAAAUUUUAUAGAAUUUAACUGAACUACAGAUUAUUUAUCUAACACUUUUAUCAUCGUAUUGUAAAUUGAACAUGGCACGCUCGGCUCAAUUUCACUGUCCUAAGCACGUCCGAUUUUGUUUGUUAUAUUUUGAUUUUUACAGGUGAUAUGAGAAUUUUCGUAUUUGACAUUGAUAAAAUUAUAUUUCGCUCAGCGGUAUGGGCACUGCGUGUGUUAAUGCAUGAGCUCUAAAUUUGAGUUCUUGUGUUAGCAUAUUAUUGACGCAGAUGUGUGUUGCAACACCUGCAUAAGAGUUGUCAAAUGAAUCACCUUCGCACGAGUCGGCGUUGCAAUGUUGCUCUAAAUCGAAUCGAAUCGAAUUCGAGUCGGGUCAGUUUGGAUUGGGUCAAAAUUUAAACCCGCUUAUUUUAUAACUCACUCUUCCUGUUGAUCCCCUACCUAUGUAAUUAUGAUAUAGAGAAAUAUAAGUGAAAAUCUAAACAACUAAUAAUUAAGAUAGACUAAGAAAUCAUACCUAAGCCAAAUCUAAUUGAGAUCCGCAGUGAUGACACUGUUAGGUUGCGAAAAAAAAUUUAUAAGGAAAAAAAUAAUAAUUAAUCCUUUAUAUUAUUUUCUUUUCACCUACUGUAGAUUUGAUCGAUAUUAAUUAUCUGCACCUUUAUCACACGUGUAUGGUGCAAAAAUUUACAAUUUGUCUUUAAAAAAAAACCUAGAGAAUGUAUAUAUUAAAAAAAUAUAGCAAUAGUACCAGGCGAGACGUAAUUUUUUGAGUGAUAUUGAUCUACUAAUAUCUUGUUCGCUGCCUAACGCUUCAUUUGGGAUUAUGAGAAGAUUGCAUUACUUGCGGUGAGAAAGUAUGAUGAAAAAAUAUUUUAUUUUUUUCGUAUAUAAUACUGCGUUCCACAUAUUGCGAUUAGUUGGUUAUGAUAUAUUUUCUACAGUUCCAUCAGAGAACGCAAAAAUAUAUUUCUAUAUUUUUUUUCUCAACUCUAUUUUAUCUCAACUCUGUUUUAUCUAAUAACGUUAGAUAGACAUCAAUAUUAAACUAACCCUAAGUAUAUCAACUUAUAUAUUUAUUACCCGAGGAGAAUGGGGGAAAACUAAAGGUAAAAAUGUAUACAUACCCUCCACUAAAUGCCAUUCUAAAAUAGCCCCCUCAACUAUAUAUACACAUGUGAUUGAGACCCUAUUAAAUCCUCAACUUUUAAUUUUCAGAAUAAAGUGGUUUUUGUUAAAAAAAAUAUAUAUAGGAGUUUUAACAAAUUCAUGAGCAAUUUUACCAAAUUUAAACACUUUAAUCACUUCUUAGCUUAUAAAACUAGAUUAAUUAACGCAAACUACUAAUAUAUCAGUUAUUAAGUUUGAUAAAAUUUUUCACUUAAUUAAGUAUGAAAUCUCAAAAAAAAUAAAAAUAAAAAUUGAGGGAGUCUCAAUCAGAAAAAGGAUAAAAAAAAAAAGAAAAUAGUUGAGGGGCCUAUUUCAAAAUGGCCUCUAAUUUUGAGGGGGUCUCCAACUUGUUUACCUAACUAAACUGGGUAUAUACGUCCUCUAUUAACACUAACUUUGGAUUAAUUAAAAGUAUUAGUUUACCUUUCUCUCUCAAAUAAAACAAUAUAUAUAUAUAUAUAUAACUUAAACAGAAACUUAAUUAAAACAACUCUUCUUUCUAUUACCGUAAUAAUUAAGUACUAAUUAAAUAAUAAAUCAUACACCCCGAACAGCACGAAAGGUUUGAUUUAGCAAUUAGUAUAAAAAUAUGUUUAGCUGGUGAUUUUUCCAAGCUAAGAAAGCGCACUUAAGACUAAUUUAACAUAUCAAAGUAGGCAAUGAGAGCACACAUUUUGUCGCAUUACAACACGCUUCAAAACCAAAUCACUAUAAAGAAAAAAGAGAACCAAAAAAAAAAAGGCUCAUGCUUUAUUCCUAACAAGGAGAAAAUAUAUGUCCUUUUCUGUCGAUUUGAACGUUGUGUAUAACAUAUUUUUAUUGAAAAUAAAGGAAGAAAAAUCCAUGUACCAUUGCGUUACGCUUGAUCAUGCUUUUUUACUUAAAUAUUUUAGUUUCUGAACAUUAUGCAAAUUUUGUUUUACUUCAAAUUUAAAAAAAUUUCGACCAAUUCUAAAGUCAAGUAGAUAGAAUAUAUGAAUUUCUUCUCAAUCACUGCAUUAUAUUGAUUUAUAAUAAAUAGUUCAUUUUAGCAAGAUAAUAUCUAAGAUAAAAAAGGGUCCAGAUCAAUUUUAUAUAUUUUUUCUUUUGAGACCGUAAUAAGUGUACAAACAAUCACAGUUUCAAAUAAAAAAAAAAAAAAAUGUACCCUCUCCUUGCACAUCUAUGCACAAAUUAUAUGUGUAAUAUAAUUAAGUGGCUACAAGUGCGUAACUAACAUGCUUAUAAUAUAUAAUUUGUUCGCAAUGUGACCCAAAGUGCAGGGUAUAAACUAUAAACUAAAAUUGCUACACACACGCACACGCACACGCACAAACACGAAGGAGGCAAAUCAUUAUGUAGCAUUUUUUUUUUAUGUUUGCAAGUAUUAUUACCAACUAUAUUAGCUGUGCCCUGUAGUGUUAAAUGUUAAAAUUGAGCACCCAAAAUUUAAAUGUGAUAAGAAAAGGGGGGGAACAUGGAAGUGCAAGGAGAUCCUGUAGAAAUCGACCCCAAACUGUAUUCUUCUUACACUUUCUGAAGUUUUGCUUGUUCAGUUCAUUAUCAGACUAGGAUUGAAAAAUUGGAGGCCCAGAAAAACAUAGGCCCGGCCCAGCCCGGCCCGUCUCUGUCAAUUGCCGACGGAGGGCCGUUUAGGGUAAAAGUGUGUAUAGAUAUGAUUCUCUAUUUUACGGUGGAAUCGUAAAAAAUAUAUCGUAAUUAACUCAUUGCGAUAUGAAAGACAUGACAUUACGCAUAGAAACAAAUAAAAUAUUUUUCCAUCAUAUUUUCUUAAUACACGUAACGUAACGUAGAAGCCUUAAAAGUCUAGUUGUGCUUUAAGUUAAUUUACUUACUUAAGAGCUCAGUCAAAUUUAAGGCCACACUGUACUUCUAAAAAUGAAGCGCGCGGCAUAUUCGUUCUUGAACUUUGAUUUAUUAUAAUUCUUAGCUUGAAUAUUUUGAAUUAUUGCAAUCACACGCUUGUGAUAUACUGUUAAUGUAAUAGUGAUAUGAUAGUACUGUAGAUGGUGAUGCGAUAAUAAAUAACAUACCACAUCACUCCUGUAAUUAAAUUGGAUCGUAGAGCUUCAUUAUAAUAAUUUAAAAAGUUUGAGAUAGAAAUUAAAAUAAACUAAAAUUUAAGAACCAAAAUGUAAUAUGCUCGUAGUUUGAGGAGCAAAAAUGUAAUUUAACAAAUUUAAAGGCCGACCGACCGUUCCUAGUACAAAUAGUAAGAGCUGGGUGGUUGGUGUUGGAAGCGUGAUUUGCCUAAAUAUCACUUAUUGGAGGCGUGAUUUUCUCUAAUAUUAAUUGUUGAAAUCGGUAUUUGCACUGACACUGAUUAUAUAAUUCAAGAUUUAAAAUCGAACAAAAUAAUAUAAAAAAAAAAUAUUGGAGGAGGAAGGAGAUAACUAAAAUAAUACUCUAUUAAUAAAAAGUAUUUGAUUACACUAUGAACGACACCCUUAGCCUUAUACAGUUGUGUUUACUGUGACUUAUUCAUCUAGUUAAUUCAUACUUAACAAUAUAUAAUUAUCAAUUCAUAACCGAUGAUAAAUUUAAUUUUUAUUUUGAAUAACAACAAAUUCUAAUCAUAAUUAAAUAAAAAACUUACACUAUUUUGUAAUUAUAUUUUAAAUGAUAUUUGGGACGACAGAUUCGAAAUCUAGGUACUUCACGUUACCGGUCCAAACGCAUACUUGUAAAUGCACCUCGCGCUCUGUAAUUAUAUGUUCUAGCACCUCUCCUCGGCGAACGCGGCGAAGAGCUUCUGGGCGUCCUCGUCCUCGGAGAGGAGGUCGCCGGCGCGCUCGUAGACGGCGCGGGCGCGGGCGACCUCGCCGUAGCGGAGCUCGAACUUGACGUAGGAGAGCCAGCCCUGGGCGUCGGGCUGCCACUGCAUCCAGCGCUCGAACACCUGGCGGGCGGCGGGGACGUUCCGGAGCAUCUCCUCCAUGUGGAUGUACUUGUACCAGAGCUGGUCGACGCGGGGGAGGAGGGAGACGGCGCGGUCCCAGACGUUGCGGGCGUGGUUGACGAAGCGGUUGCGCAUCUCGAACUCGGCGUACUCGAGCCAGAGGGUGCGGUUGCGGUAGUCGACGUCGAGGGCGCGCUCCCACACGGAGCGGGCGCGGGGGAAGUCGCCCUGGGACUCCUCCCACCGCGCGUACUUGGCCCACGCGGAGGCGCUCGAGCGCCCGCGGCGGAGGCGGCCCUCGAACUCCGCGCGCCAGCGGAGGCGGUGCUCGGCGAGCUCGUCGGGGCCGGCGAUCUCGCGCUUGGGGGGGCGGAUCUCGCGGUCGCGGAGCUCGCGCGCCUCGCGCAGGAUCUGCUCCGCGGUGAUCUGGAUCGGGGCGGGGGCCUUGUUCUUGACGCGGACGGGGCGGGGGAGCUGCGCCUCCGCGUUCUUCCGCGACCGGACCAUUGUUGGCGAGAUCUCGAGCUAUACAACGAAGGAGACGAAGGGGAGAGGAGAGGGUUUGGGACCUAGCUAGGGUUUUGCAAGAAGAGAGAGAGGAGCCGAUCGAGGUGGGUGGUUUAAGCUGCUAGGGUUUUAUAUCCGUUUCGGAUCCACGUGCUUAGAGUUGGUGUCGGUGUCGGAUCCGAUUCGGAUUAUCUGCUCAUGUUUUACAGCCUCUACGUACGUUCGAUAUAGGAUUUUCGGAAUGGAUCCGGGUAGGAUUAGGAAGUUGGAUAUCGGGUUUGGAGGAAAUCAACUCCGAUAUCUAUAUAUUUUUUCAAAAGUAAAUAAAAAUUUGAUAUUUUCUAAUUUUUCUGUAAUUUAUUAACAUGCUUUAUUUCGUUAUCUCUUGUUAAAUUUAUUGACACGAAAUUAACCUACGGACACCAGAUAAAUAUUGAGUUGAGUGUUACACUUAUAAAAGUUCACUCAAUUUCACCAAAAGAGAAAAAAAAAAAAAAGAAUUUUAAUUGUUGGCAUUCGGUUAAAUCGAAUCGGGUACGCCCAUAAGCGGGUUCGAUCCGACGGAUAUUAUGUUAUCUAAUUGGAUUAGGAUUAAUCUCGCUUUCAAAUUAGAAAGUUAGUUAGAGAUAAAUCCUAGUCAUAUUAGGAUAACAAUUAAUAACCGAUUUGGCCUUAUCUCUAACGCCAUAAGGAUUUUGGAAUCCCUUAUAAAUAUGCGGGCGAUCCCACAUAACGUAAUAUAUACGGAAAGAACCGAAAAAGAGAGAGAAUAAGAAAAUAAUAGAGAGAAACCACAUCCUCCAUUGACCUAUUAUUCUAGAGGGACUUGCACGGUGGAUUUGCGAUCGCGCUCGUUUGUAGUUCGAUCCACCGCGAGUUCGGAGAGUUAGAAGAUUUGCAAGGAAGAUUCAAGGACACGUAAAUCAAUCAAUCCGAUCCGGCUCGAAUCGCUUCCGCAAAAAGGUACGAACCGAAAACUUCCGCUGCAUUCUACAUUAAUCAACACAAUUGAAAGUUGAAGGUGUCAUUUCAAAAUAGUCCAAAUAUUAGGGGUUCCCUUGCAACAUCUGUUAAGUGUACCAUUAAUCUCGCCAUCUAUUUUUCCCCCUAAAUUUUAAUUUUUGAUUCAAUUAUUUUUUUUCCUUAAAAUUUUUAUUAAAUUUUUUAAAAAUAUCGUGUAAUAAAUUUAAUGAUGAUGUGUAAUUGAUAGGGUACUACCUUAUUCUUGUACUUAACAAUGAUUUUAAUAAGGUUCUACCACCCUUGGGUUUCACUAAAAAAAAAAAAAUUUUUUUUAAUGAAAAAAUAUAAUUACAAUAAAUAAUAUAAAUGUGGAAUGUAAGUGCAAAAAAAUGUUUGGAACUAAAAUAAAAUAGUUAAAAACGUAUAGAAUUUAUUUGAAUUAUAAACUAUUUUGAGUAGACUAUCCAACAUUUCAAAAUUUUAAUUGUACAAUUCAAACUUUCAAUUUAUUUAAGCCAACUUAUUUAAUUUGGCUUUAUAAUUUAAGCUAAUUACUUUAAUAAAUUUAUAGUUGUAAAAAUUUUAUAAAGUAUAUUAACUACAUGUGUAAAAAUAAAUGAUACAUUUAAAUUUAAAGUCAAAAUAUAAUUGAUUAGCUCAAAUCAAAUACUAAAAUUAAAAUUUAAAAAAUUUAAAUAACUGACUCAAAAUAAUUCAUACUUUAUACAAAUUCAAUAAGUUUUUACCAAUAAAAUAUAUAUAUGGGUCAAUUGCAUACAGAUCCCUACAAACAUAGUGAAUUGCAGAUAUAUUCCUGUAAAGUUUAACUUUCAUAAGUUAUCUCUACAAAAAUUCUAAUGUUUUCAGAUAAGCCUCUGCCGUUAGAAUCUGUUAGAAAAGUUUAGUUAACCAUAGAUUAAAUACUUUAUCCGGAUUAAUUUUUGAUAUUUUUACCUCUCUUAUAUUAUAUUGUUAUAACUUUUAGAGGGACAUAUUUGUGAGGGUAAAAUUGAAAAUAUAAACAGAUUUUUAAUGGUUUUCUAACAGUAACAAAUUAGAAGGAUAUAUCUGAAAAUAUUAGGACUUUUGCAAGAAUAACUUAUGAAAGUUGAACUUUAUAGGAAUAUAUUUGUAAUUCACUAUGUUUGCGGGGAUCCGUAUGCAAUUACUCCAAAUAUUAUAAGGUAAAGGCCAGAUCCAAUGUGCAAUUAACCCGGGCGCGGAUAACAAUAUCGGCCGAACCACAACCCAAACCCAAACCCAAUCAUAUAUUUUGGUCCACCCGAAACCAAAACUUAACCCUCUCCUCUGUUCCUUCUCCUUCCGCGCCUCCCCUUUCUUCGUCGUCGUCGUCGUCUUCCUCCUCCCGAAACCCUAACCCUAAUGUCGAUCUCUCUCCCCAACCAGAGCAUGGCGCCGUCGGCUCCGGCGAAGGACGCCGAGGCGAGCCUGGGGUUCCUGACGAAGCGCGACACGGAGGUGAAGCUCCCGCGGCCCACGCGCGUGAAGAACAAGACCCCCGCGUCGAUCCAGAUCACCGCGGAGCAGAUCCUCCGCGAGGCCCGCGAGCGCCAGGAGCCCGAGAUCCGGCCCCCCAAGCAGAAGAUCACCGACCCCCACGAGCUCUCCGACUACCGGCUCCGCAAGCGCAAGGAGUUCGAGGACCUCAUCCGCCGCGUCCGCUGGAACGUCUCCGUCUGGGUCAAGUACGCCCAGUGGGAGGAGUCCCAGGGCGACUUCACCCGCGCCCGCUCCGUGUGGGAGCGCGCCCUCGACGUCGACUACCGCAACCACACCCUCUGGCUCAAGUACGCCGAGUUCGAGAUGCGCAACCGCUUCGUCAACCACGCCCGCAACGUCUGGGACCGCGCCGUCUCCCUCCUCCCCCGCGUCGACCAGCUCUGGUACAAGUACAUCCACAUGGAGGAGAUGCUCCGGAACGUCCCCGCCGCCCGCCAGGUGUUCGAGCGCUGGAUGCAGUGGCAGCCCGACGCCCAGGGCUGGCUCUCCUACGUCAAGUUCGAGCUCCGCUACGGCGAGGCCGACCGCGCCCGCGCCGUCUACGAGCGCUUCGUUGCCUGCCACCCCCGCCCCGACGCCUUCAUCCGCUACGCCAAGUUCGAGAUGAAGCGCGGCGAGGUCGCCCGGGCCCGCUCCGUCUACGAGCGCGCUGUCGACCUCCUCUCCGAGGACGAGGACGCUGAGAAGCUCUUCGUCGCGUUCGCCGAGUUCGAGGAGCGGUGCAAGGAGGUCGAGCGGGCGAGGUGCAUCUAUAAGUACGCCCUGGACCACAUUCCCAAGGGCCGGGCCGAGGACCUGUACCGCAAGUUCGUUGCCUUCGAGAAGCAGUACGGGGACCGCGAGGGGAUCGAGGAUGCGAUUGUCGGGAAGAGGAGGUUUCAGUAUGAGGAGGAGGUGCGGAAGAACCCCUUGAAUUACGACUCCUGGUUCGAUUACGUUAGAUUGGAGGAGAGCGUAGGGAAUAAGGACAUGAUUAGGGAGGUCUAUGAGCGGGCGAUCAGUAAUGUGCCCCCGGCAGAGGAGAAGCGGUACUGGCAGCGGUACAUCUAUCUGUGGAUAAACUAUGCAUUAUACGAGGAGCUUGAUGCGCAGGACAUGGACACGACGAGAGAGGUUUACAGGUGAACAUCCCUCAUCUUGAAGAAGAACUUGAAUGCAAUUUCUUUCCGGUUUAUAUGAUAAAAACGUUGCCGAACCACUUAGUUUCAACUAGUGCUAGCAUAUAAAUUAAAAGAGCACCAACAUCUACUCUGCUAAUUAUGGUCUGCUAAUUAUGUUAUGAAAUGAUGUACUAUCGAAUGGAUUGGAUAUUAGGCAGCAAAUAUCUUGCUUUUAGGUAGCGCAUGUGCUUACAUAGGAAGAACUUAUCGAUGCAAUUUAUAUGGUUCCAUCUUACGAUGAUGCAGAAUAGCAGAAGGAAUUUUUUUGUUUGGUUGAGCUUUCACCUUAGCACAAUGUCUUUUUGGGCAAUUCAAAACGCAUAUCUGUGAACUUUAUAAGCUAUUUUUCCUUAGGCAGCAAAGUCAUUGUGUUGAGUUUUCAAAUUCAAGAACUUGAUCAUAAGAAGCAAAACUAGACUGUAAAGUAGCUUUUCUUUUCUUUUUUACUCUUCGUUUGUGAGGAAACCAUCCCAGAGCUUUUUCAUUUUUUAGAAAUCAUUUGAAGAUUUUAUUUCUUUAAUUUCUUUUUUUUUUUCGUGUUAAAGCAUGAGUGGUGUCAUAUGUAUAGGGAAGAAAUUGAUCCUUGCAGUCCAGAACUUGAUCGACAAUAUCUGUAGAAGCAUCAUUCGUAUAUUACCAAAAAAAGGCCAUAAAUUCAAUUAUUUUUUUCCACUAGAAAUUUUCCGCGUUAAGCUUUAUAAAUGGCCGUUUGUUUUCAGUUGGAGGCUCGUGUCUUUCUCUUAUUGUUUUCAUGUAACUCCUUUUUGUUAAUUCGUUUUCCCUAUAUUUGUUAUCAUCUUUUAGACGGAAGAAGCAAGAUCUAGUCGUUUUAUUCUUAUGAACUAUACUAACAUUACUUUGGUUGAUUCAGAGAAUGUCUAAAAUUGGUUCCUCACAAGAAGUUCUCCUUUGCAAAAAUGUGGCUCAUGGCCGCCCAGUUCGAGAUAAGACAAAUGAAUAUCAAGGCUGCAAGGCAGAUUUUAGGAAAUGCAAUUGGAAUGGCUCCAAAGGAUAAGGUAGGAAUUAAAA